ACUUCUUCUUUUUCCUUCUUUUUUUUAAUCGGUAGUCACGUUUCUUUUCCUUGGUUGCAGAAGCUGCCUGGAGUUAUUAUCUUUGUGCAUCUGCGAGAAAACAUUCAUAUCUUGCCAUAGGAGCAUCAAAAAUGCGAGCCACUCGAUUCUCCUAAAACAUGACACAAAGAACUGAAACAUAUCCAAGAAUUGGAGCAAAAAUCCUUCUGCACCAUCUCAGGAGCGUACGAAUUGCAGUCCGCUUGAUUUUCUUUACACUAAACAUGGAGCGCUACAACAUAUUAAAAAUUUGAAGCCAAAUUCGUUCUGAACUAUCUCAGGAGUAUUUCUAAACUUGCUUCAGAUUCUGCCGUACUCAACUUUUCAACUUUGCGCGCCUUCACUGAAAGAUUCAUAUCUUGGUGCAGGAAUAUCGUAAUCACGAGCGGUUUGAAGCUAUAAAAACUAGAAUCCCUGAACUUCAAUUUCUGUAAAGAUCACAAUCAAAUUGCUCUUAUAUCGUUCCAGAUACUAUUCAAAAUUUACACGACGAGUUCCGAUAUGCCGGCUCUUUCAGCUUUGUGCACUCUCACUGAAAAAGUCAUAUAUCGAGGUAGGAGGGUACAAAUCAUGAGCCGUUUGCACCGUUGAAAAGAAGAACAAGAGAGAUGCAACAUACAUAAAAGUCGAAGCCCUACCCUUUUUGAUCCAGCCACAAUAAUUUUUUUUAUCAAGCACCAAAAUCAGGAGGAUUAUUUUUUUGGACAGCAUACUUUUUUUGCAGGUUUGGCAAGGUAAAGCUUAGGGCAUCCUCAUCUUCGUGGAAUUGGAGGACGAAAAUUUGAUGCAUCCACCUUUUCGGCCAUGGCUUUGGCGGACAACAGUUUGGUGCAUCCACCUUUCCAGUCAAACUUUGACAAAAAUACAAUCACUCGAGUAUGUUUGGCUUUCACCGUCAUGAUUAUGACUCGCUUUCCUUCCCUGACUUAGAAGGAGUUUUAUGGUGUCCUCUUCUUGCAAUUUGGCAAAGAAGUCCAUGGCUAGUCCUCCAUCCAUAUUAAAGUGUCAUGUUGUUGACACUGGUACUUGUUGCUGAGCUAAAACUCUGUGUCAUUGGCACCGAUCAACUAAACAGAACCAAAAGCUUCAUGCCAUUGGCACCGGGGUGCUUCAAAAUCUUUCUCUUUUGCAGAUUUUCAAGAGCAGUCUUGAUAUCCCUAAGAAGGUUCACUAGAGGUCUGCAAGAUUGGGGAUGAACCGUUCGUCCUUUAUUGUGGCUAGACGUGAUUGACACUUGGAGUAUCCUUUUCCAACCAGGCGAUUUAUACUCAUGCGGAUAAGGAGUAUAGCAACUUGAAAACUUUGCUCAAAUUUGAAGAGCUUUACAUCUUGGAGACUUGC